rnacentral:tRNA from 1 species
AGGGGUAUAGGUCACUGAUAGAGCACGUGCUUAGCAGGCAUGAGGUCCUGGGUUCAAUCCCCAGUACCCCCA